GCGGGUACAGCUCAGGGGUAGAGUGUGUGCUUGGCUUGCACAAGGUCCUGGGUUCAAUCCCUGGUACUUCCA
rnacentral:tRNA from 1 species